UCUAUAAGUACUCCAAGUUAAACAUUCAAAUCUAAAGUUCUGAAGCUGGGAUCCAGAGAUGAGAAAGGACACGAAACGCUUGCCUCUCUAAGCCCGAGUGACCUCACUCAGAGUAGUUUUUCCCAUUUAAUCCAUUUACUUGCAAAUCUCACAAUUUCAUUUUUCUUCACAGAUGAAUGAAGAUCCUCUGUGUAUAUGUGUAUCAUACUUUCAUUAUCCAUUUGAUCAGCUGAUGGGCCUCUAGACUGAAUCUAUUUCCUGGCUAGCGUGACUAGAGCAGCAAUGAUAAGAGGGUUCUUGAGGAUCUUCUCAUCUUUUUAGUAUUUGCAGGUACUUCCAGGAACCACUGACUCUGAACGUGAACCACAUACACAUCUUCACCAAAGGACCUAACCCUCUAAUCUGUGCACCCAGCGCCUGCUGCUUUAGAAGACACAAGAAGAGCCACAAGACUGCCUGGGAUUCUUCUCCAUCAGGAAGGUCUUUACCUCUAUUUUUGUUUCAGAACCACCCACCUAGUUGAGGCUUUCUUCCUCAAGGAAGGCAUUUAAUACCAGAGUUCUCACCCACUCCAGAGUGGGAAAGAAGAGGACACUGGCAGUAGAAGCUAUCAGGCAGAAUGGAAUAUUUUCACCCGCUGGCCGACUCUGUUCUUCCACUAUUGUCUCUGCACCAGGAAAGACUGGCGUUUCAGAAGUCAAAAAGUAGUGCAUAGUCUCUGCAAUGGUGGAGGAGAGAAUGCCUUUACAAGAAGAUGAAACCCACAGCUUUAUUCAUCUGGAACCAUGGCGGGGGAGGUGAGCAGAGAGCAAUGCCAGCUUCAAGUCAUCCCAGUCACACACAAAGCCUGCCAGUGGGCAUGACCCUGUCCCAGGGGGGAUCUGGAAUCCAAGAGGGAAAGGAAUAGGUAUUACUGUUCAAAUUCUGCCAGUUCUGGCUUGUUCACAUGCCAGUUCUGGCUUGGCCACAUGACUUUUGAGUCUGUGUUACAAUAAUUUCGGAGUGGCUUUUAGUAGUGGAGUUAUUAUUAUUUUUUCUUUGUUUGGUUUGGUUUGGCCUGAAACCCAGAGAUCUGCCUGCCUCUGCUGAAAUUAAAGGCAUAUCCCACCAUGGCCAGGUCAGUAGGGAAAUUCUUUUACUUUUAUUUGUAUCACCUGUACAGAGGUCAGGGUCAGAAGAGACCAGGGACAAAUGGCUAACUGAGGUGUCUAUUUACAUAUCAAAUCAGUGCUGGCCAGGCCAGUUCUCCCAUUUUCCCUGGAUAUCUCUGGCUCCUCCCAGCACUUCUUACCUGCCCCUUAGCCCUAAACCUCCCGAACCCAGGGGCUGGGCUUCCCUUCUCUUCCCCAAACUCCUGAUCACUAUAUAACUCAGCCACUUUGGUUACUCACUUUUGGUUCCCAUGUGCUAUCUUGGCUCUUGACUCUACUCUUGACUCUUGCCCCCCCUACUUCUGUUCCUCUUUGGCUCUACCCCCAUUUCUCUCCUUUCAUGGUCUACUUCAGUCUGGACUCUUUCAGAGACCCCUCCCUCAUAUCUACAUAACCAGAUGUCAUAUCCUCAUUUUCAGUCAGAAGACAAUUUGUGGAAGUCAGUUCUCUCCUUCCACCUUGUGAGGCCUUGGAGAUCAAACUCAGGUUCUUGGGCUUGAAGGCAAGAACCUUUGCCCUCUGAGCCAUUUUGUCUACCCAGUCUGUAGAAUUUUAGAAAGAUGUUUCAGAGCAAUCUACUAGGAUCUGCCUGGUGGUAGUAAGAGCCGGCUUUUCCCCAGUACUUCUGUCUCAAAGCAAAGACCAUUCUAAGCACUGUCCUGCUAGUCAGCCAAAUGGACAGACGGGAGUGAGUGCAGCUACCAAGACACAGCAGCCGACCCUUUGACAGACAUUCCCAAGAAAGGCAGUCUGCUCUAGAGCCAAGGCCAAGUCUCUUUAUGUAACCCCAACUGUUCCAUAAUCCUCCUGUCCUAGACUCCCAAAUGAUGAGAUUACAGGUGUGUGUCACCUUGUCCAGCUCUCCCUCUCUCUCUCUUAAAUCAUGGCCUUUGAUAAUACCAAGCCUGAAUUUAUCCAUAGUGAGGAUUGACUGGGACUAAGACAUGACAUUGUCUUGGUUCCACAAUUUAUAGCAUAUGAAUAUACUUUUGUACCUAGGGCCAUUUAAUCUUGGUCCUCUGCUCAGUGUGCUCUAGGUCUCUUUCAACCCCAAAACACUCCCAGGGGAAGAAAUAAUAGACACCUCUCCAGAAAAGCCCAAAGGGUCUCCCCAUGUAACCCCUGUUGUAAGGGAGGCAGCACAGGGGAGGUUCCCUAGAGAGAAAAGUGUUUCUAGAAGUGCCCAGAUGGUGGAGAAGGUUCUGGAUUCAGUAAUAGCACAGAAGUGGCUUGUUGCGGGAGGUCCUUCUGCCCCUCCAACCAAUAGCUGCUGUGAUACCAGCCCAUUGGGGCGUGGUCUCUCUCCCUUUAAAAAAGCGGCUAUUUCCUCUGCUCGCUCUCUUCACUUCCUGCUCCGCCGGAGACUAGACUCCCUUCCUGGUUGUGCAGAUGGCUGUUGUCUGGGACGGUGAUCUGUAAGUUUUCCCCUUUAAAUAAAUAACACCCUAUUAAUCAUAACUCCAAACUGGUGUGGCCUUGUUCGUGACUUACGCCUU